UGCCAGCCGCCGCGGUAAGACGAACCGUACGAACGUUAUUCGGAAUUACUGGGCUUAAAGAGCUCGUAGGUGGUUAAAAAAGUUGAUGGUGAAAUCCCAAGGCUCAACCUUGGAACUGCCAUCAAAACUUUUUAGCUAGAGUGUGAUAGAGGUAAGUGGAAUUUCUAGUGUAGAGGUGAAAUUCGUAGAUAUUAGAAAGAACACCAAAUGCGAAGGCAACUUACUGGGUCACUACUGACACUGAGGAGCGAAAGCAUGGGUAGCGAAGAGGAUUAGAUA
rnacentral:rRNA from 1 species